UUCUACACUAAUGCUGCCUCACGCACCUUGCUUUCAUGAGCACUGAAGAUGGACAUUGAAUCGAUGAGGUGUGCUUGCUGUGGCCUGAAAGAGGACUGCACCCAGGAAUACAUAGAUAAUGUCAAGGGCAACUUUGGAGGGAAAUGGCUCUGUGGCUUAUGCUCAGAGGCUGUAAGGGAUGGACUCGGUAAAGACAGCAGCAGCCAGGAUGGAAUUGAAGAGGCAAUCAAGGCUCAUAUGGAAUUCUGCAGGAUUUCGCUGUCAAGCCCAGCGGUCCGGGUAGCUGAUGGCAUGAAGGAGAUGCUCAGGAGGUCAGGGGGCAAGAUGAGGCCAGCAACACUGUCAAAGGCACGCCCAGUGUAGCAAGGUAGGUAAGAAGCUUCACAAUUGAGGACUGUCAAUGAAGAUGUUUUUAGUCGCCUUAAGGCUGGAGCUGGAGGCUGGAGCUGGAAUGGUGUGAGAGAAAAAUACUGUUGGGCUGGCUGGAGCUGGAGCUGGUGGUUGGAGUGGUGUGAGAGGAAAAUACUGUUGGGCUGGAGCAGGGGCUGGCUGCCGAACACAGUGAAAAUGAAUCCAGUCACUGCUCAGGAGCCAUUGUUUAUUAAACAAUUAUGGAGGUAAGACCUGAUUGCAAAGUGCUUUA